rnacentral:rRNA from 1 species
GAUGAACGCUGGCGGCGUGCCUAAUACAUGCAAGUCGAGCGAACGGACGAGAAGCUUGCUUCUCUGAUGUUAGCGGCGGACGGGUGAGUAACACGUGGAUAACCUACCUAUAAGACUGGGAUAACUUCGGGAAACCGGAGCUAAUACCGGAUGAUAUUUUGAACCGCAUGGUUCAAAAGUGAAAGACGGUCUUGCUGUCACUUAUAGAUGGAUCCGCGCUGCAUUAGCUAGUUGGUAAGGUAACGGCUUACCAAGGCAACGAUGCAUAGCCGACCUGAGAGGGUGAUCGGCCACACUGGAACUGAGACACGGUCCAGACUCCUACGGGAGGCAGCAGUAGGGAAUCUUCCGCAAUGGGCGAAAGCCUGACGGAGCAACGCCGCGUGAGUGAUGAAGGUCUUCGGAUCGUAAGACUCUGUUAUUAGGGAAGAACAUAUGUGUAAGUAACUGUGCACAUCUUGACGGUACCUAAUCAGAAAGCCACGGCUAACUACGUG